UAGAGGUCUAUGAAUCCAAAGAACUUCUUGUGUGAAUCAUAAGCAUCAGAAUUGAAUGAGCUAAACUGGAAAGCUGUUUUAUGGUAUCAGAGGACAUUGAAUUCUCAGGGAAGACUGUCGGCCCAGAGUCCUGAGUGACUGUGCACAGCGAUCAGAGCCGUGCGUCUGGCGUGAACCACACUUUUGUGUCUCUGAGUGUCACUUGUGGAAGCAGCUGUCACACAAACAGAUCAUUAAAGAGCGGUCGAUCUCCACCACCACCUUGAGAGGCAAUUACCACACGACACGGAGGAUUGCAGCCGCAUAAUGAUCUGUGUGUUUUAACACAGACACACACAAAUGUGUGCAUUAUAAGCAGCCUGUGACGUUACGUGACAGGAUCUGACAGCGCUGGAGCUCAGGGGUUAUGCCUCAUUGGCCGCCACAUGGCUUAACCAAUCAGAAGCUGGCAGUGCGGAGGGCAGUUAGAGCUGUGGGACACAGUCCAGAGACUAGUUUGUCUUUUUCCUGGAAUCAGCAGCAAAUCUGCCACCUGAAAACAUCCAGCAUCAGAAAUCCAGAAAUAUUCGUUUCAUGUCUCAAUGAUUGCACGUGAGUGUGCAUGAACAUAGUUUAAUUAAAACCUCUGUACCAUGUA